AUUGAACGCUGGCGGCAGGCCUAACACAUGCAAGUCGAAUGGUAACAGGAAACAGCUUGCUGUUUCGCUGACGAGUGGCGGACGGGUGAGUAAUGUCUGGGAAACUGCCUGAUGGAGGGGGAUAACUACUGGAAACGGUAGCUAAUACCGCAUAACGUCGCAAGACCAAAGAGGGGGACCUUCGGGCCUCUUGCCAUCAGAUGUGCCCAGAUGGGAUUAGCUAGUAGGUGGGGUAACGACUCACCUAGGCGACGAUCCCUAGCUGGUCUGAGAGGAUGACCAGCCACACUGGAACUGAGACACGGUCCAGACUCCUACGGGAGGCAGCAGUGGGGAAUAGUGCACAAUGGGCGCAAGCCUGAUGCAGCCAUGCCGCGUGUAUGAAGAAGGCCUUCGGGUUGUAAAGUACUUUCAGCGGGGAGGAAGGGAGUAAAGUUAAUACCUUUGCUCAUUGACGUUACCCGCAGAAGAAGCACCGGCUAACUCCGUG
rnacentral:rRNA from 1 species